rnacentral:lncRNA from 1 species
AUUUUACGUUCAUUUGAGUCAAUACACAUCUACAUUAGGCGUAGUGGGGGACCUUUAGGCCUUCCAUUGGACUCCCACGGUUUGACUCCCCAGCACGCGCUCAUUCUCGCACAUCACAUAGACACAGCCCACCACCACAUAGACACAGCCCACCACCACAUAGACACAGCCCACCACCACAUAGACACAGCCCACCACCACAUAGACACAGCCCACCACCACCACAUAGACACAGCCCACCACCACCACAUAGACACAGCCCACCACCACAUAGACACAGCCCACCACCACAUAGACACAGCCCACCACCACCACAUAGACACAGCCCACCACCACAUAGACACAGCCCACCACCACAUAGACACAGCCCACCACCACAUAGACACAGCCCACCACCACCACAUAGACACAGCCCACCACCACCACAUAGACACAGCCCACCACCACCACAUAGACACAGCCCACCACCACAUAGACACAGCCCACCACCACAUAGACACAGCCCACCACCACAUAGACACAGCCCACCACCACAUAGACACAGCCCACCACCACAUAGACACAGCCCACCACCACCACAUAGACACAGCCCACCACCACCACAUAGACACAGCCCACCACCACAUAGACACAGCCCACCACCACAUAGACACAGCCCACCACCACAUAGACACAGCCCACCACCACAUAGACACAGCCCACCACCACAUAGACACAGCCCACCACCACCACAUAGACACAGCCCACCACCACCACAUAGACACAGCCCACCACCACAUAGACACAGCCCACCACCACAUAGACACAGCCCACCACCACAUAGACACAGCCCACCACCACCACAUAGACACAACCCACCACCACAUAGACACAGCCCACCACCACAUAGACACAGCCCACCACCACCACAUAGACACAGCCCACCACCACCACAUAGACACAGCCCACCACCACCACAUAGACACAGCCCACCACCACAUAGACACAGCCCACCACCACAUAGACACAGCCCACCACCACAUAGACACAGCCCACCACCACCACAUAGACACAGCCCACAACCACCACAUAGACACAGCCCACCACCACAUAGACACAGCCCACCACCACAUAGACACAGCCCACCACCACCACAUAGACACAGCCCACCACCACAUAGACACAGCCCACCACCACAUAGACACAGCCCACCACCACAUAGACACAGCCCACCACCACAUAGACACAGCCCACCACCACAUAGACACAGCCCACCACCACAUAGACACAGCCCACCACCACAUAGACACAGCCCACCACCACAUAGACACAGCCCACCACCACAUAGACACAGCCCACCACCACAUAGACACAGCCCACCACCACAUAGACACAGCCCACCACCACAACAUAGACACAGCCCACCACCACAUAGACACAGCCCACCACCACAUAGACACAGCCCACCACCACCACAUAGACACAGCCCACCACCACCACAUAGACACAGCCCACCACCACAUAGACACAGCCCACCACCACAUAGACACAGCCCACCACCACAUAGACACAGCCUACCACCACAUAGACACAGCCCACCACCACAUAGACACAGCCCACCACCACAUAGACACAGCCCACCACCACAUAGACACAGCCCACCACCACCACAUAGACACAGCCCACCACCACCACAUAGAAACAGCCCACCACCACAUAGACACAGCCCACCACAACAUAGAAACAGCCCACCACCAGAUAGACACAGCCGUCAUCAUUGUAAUGAAUAGUUUGCGUGUUGUUGCAGAUUCACCGUCAAAAGUGGAAAGGAGUAGCUCAGGGAUGAGUCUCAACAAAGACAUGGCAAGCACGUAUUUGAUGGACAGGGAUGAUGAUGGUAAGAGUCUGCGUUCUUCUGGUUCUUCUCUCACAAUAUAUACCUCCAGGUUUCUCUAUACUUCCUUCUGGCUCUCUUUUCUUGUUUUGUCUUUUUGUCAUCUGACAACAGAAGUAUCUCCCUGGGUGUUAAAAAAUAUAUCGAGGUUCACUGAACCAGGAAUGCUGCCUGCCAGUGUACCAUGA